rnacentral:misc_RNA from 1 species
CUGAAUUGUCAACAAGAGUUGUUGCUGGUCCUCAAAUGGGGGCAUGUGCACGCUCUGUUCACACAUCCACUCACACCCUGUGCACCCUCUGUAGUUCUAUGGUCAGGGGGCCUGUCCUCCCGCUGUGGUUCUGCAUCUUUACACACACACACUGUAACGAAGUCUCAUGGAAUGCAUGCCGCGUUUAACGCAAUAUAAUAC